GUAGGUGGCAAGCGUUGUCCGGAAUUAUUGGGCGUAAAGCGCGCGCAGGCGGUUCUUUAAGUCUGAUGUGAAAGCCCACGGCUCAACCGUGGAGGGUCAUUGGAAACUGGAGAACUUGAGUACAGAAGAGGAAAGCGGAAUUCCACGUGUAGCGGUGAAAUGCGUAGAGAUGUGGAGGAACACCAGUGGCGAAGGCGGCUUUCUGGUCUGUAACUGACGCUGAGGCGCGAAAGCGUGGGGAGCAAACAGGAUUAGAUACCCUGGUAGUCCACGCCGUAAACGAUGAGUGCUAGUGUUAGGGGGGUUUCCGCCCCCCUUAGUGCUGCAGCUAACGCAUUAAGCACUCCGCCUGGGAGUACGGCCGCAAGGCUG
rnacentral:rRNA from 1 species